rnacentral:rRNA from 1 species
CUCUUCGGGGAUGAUUAAACCGGCGCACGGGUGAGUAACACGUGAGUGACCUGCCUUUUAGACUGGAACAACUUACCGAAAGGUGAGCUAAUGCCGGAUGAGUUAUAUAAGUGCAUGUUUAUAUAGGAAAAGUUGGGGAGACCUGACGCUGAAAGAUGGACUCGCGUCCCAUUAGCUAGUUGGUAGGGUAAUGGCCUACCAAGGCGACGAUGGGUAGCCGGCCUGAGAGGGUGGCCGGCCACACUGGGACUGAGACACGGCCCAGACUCCUACGGGAGGCAGCAGUGGGGAAUUUUGCGCAAUGCUCGUAAGAGUGACGCAGCGACGCCGCGUGAAUGACGAAGGCCUUCGGGUCGUAAAGUUCUUUCGACAGGGAAGAAAAUGCCUAUAAGUAACUGUGUAUGUAUUGACGGUACCUGUAUAAGCAGCCCCGGCUAACUCCGUGCCAGCAGCCGCGGUAAUACGGAGGGGGCGAGCGUUGUUCGGAGUGACUGGGCGUAAAGAGCACGUAGGCGGUGUUGUAAGUCAUUAGUCAAAGACUAGAGCUCAACUUUAGUAAGGCUAGUGAUACUAUAAUACUAGAGUAUCAGAGAGGAUUGCAGAAUUCCUGGUGUAGCGGUGAAAUGCGUAGAUAUCAGGAGGAAUACCGUUAGCGAAGGCGGCAAUCUGGCUGGAAACUGACGCCGAGGUGCGAGAGCGUGGGUAGCAAACAGGAUUAGAUACCCUGGUAGUCCACGCUGUAAACGAUGGAUGCUAGGUGUUGGGCUUUUAAGUUCAGUGC